UAAGGUAAAAAAAUUGACUCAAAGUAAUUCAAUAGCAUAAUUUAAAUUGCUUAAUGAAAAAAUAAGGCGGAAUUGUAAAUGACAAGAAUUUAAAAGCAGAAUUGAAAGGUGUUUAAAGAUAAAAUAAAUAAUUCAAAAUGUGCUGAAAUUUAAUGGCAGAAAUCAACUCAGAAAAAGAUAAACACAAUUUAAAACCAUACUCUGAAUACCACAUGAUGUGGAUUGACUUUAUGAUUGCACAUUUUUAUAGGUUACAUUUUUUUAUAAUUUUUGGAAUAACAAUUAUGGUGAGAAACUCAAAGAAGAUUCCCACUGGACACAAACUUAACUAAGUGGUUAAGUAAGUGUGAAGAUUCAAUUUUAGAGGGAAAAGAGAAAACACAAUUAUAUGGUGAUUUAGAUGAUGAUGAUAGGCAGAAAUGAAAAACACAUAAGAAAAGGAAAACACGAUGACAUAGAGAAUGGAAAAAAGUGGUGCAAAGAAAAGGAAGGAAAAAGGUGAAGGGAUGAAGAAAGCUUAUGAAGAUGAGAGGUGGUCACGUCACUUGGAGGAUGGGAUACUCCAAGAUGAGUGGUGUAGAGCUGCCACUUGAAGUGAAGAGCACUCAAGAUAAGACCCAAGGAUAAUAGGAGACUCAGCUCACUAAAUACUUAGAAAGAGUUUCUU
rnacentral:lncRNA from 1 species